rnacentral:rRNA from 1 species
ACGCACGCUGGCGGCGUGCCUAAUACAUGCCAGUAGAACGCACAGUUUAUACCGUAGCUUGCUACACCAUAGACUGUGAGUUGCGAACGGGUGAGUAACGCGUAGGUAACCUGCCUGGUAGCGGGGGAUAACUAUUGGAAACGAUAGCUAAUACCGCAUAAUAUUAAUUAUUGCAUGAUAAUUAAUUGAAAGGUGCAAUUGCACCACUACCAGAUGGACCUGCGUUGUAUUAGCUAGUAGGUGAGGUAACGGCUCACCUAGGCGACGAUACAUAGCCGACCUGAGAGGGUGAUCGGCCACACUGGGACUGAGACACGGCCCAGACUCCUACGGGAGGCAGCAGUAGGGAAUCUUCGGCAAUGGACGAAAGUCUGACCGAGCAACGCCGCGUGAGUGAAGAAGGUUUUCGGAUCGUAAAGCUCUGUUGUAAGAGAAGAACGGGUGUGAGAGUGGAAAGUUCACACUGUGACGGUAUCUUACCAGAAAGGGGCGGCUAACUACGUG